rnacentral:ncRNA from 1 species
UUAUUAAAUUAAUUAAAUGUUUGUUGUUUAUAGGGUUAUUAGGGUUUAAUUGUUUUUUAUAUAUUGGGAUAUUUAGGGUUUGGUGGUGAUUUUAAAAAUAUACUGAUUUUUUGUUGUAAUAUUUGGUUUUAUGAAUUUGGUGUUUCAAUUUUAGGUUUAUUAGGAAUUUAUUGUUUAAUUUUUGUGCCAGCAAUCGCGGUUAUACAAUUAAUAAUUAAAUAUUUAUGAUUUUAUUAUGAUUUAUUUUUAUUGAAUAUUAUUUAUUUUGUUUUAUAUAAAGGUGGAAUUUUUAUUUAUUUUUUGUUUUAUUUAAUUAAUAUAUUAAAUUUUAUUUUAUGAAUUUUUAUUUGAGGACUAGGAUUAGAUACCCUAUUAUUGAAUUGAAUUAUUUUAGGAUUGACUAAUUAGUAUUUAUUAAAUUUAAUUAAGAUGGCAGUAUCUUAUUCAUUUUAGAGGAACUUGUUUAAUUGAUUGAUAAGACACGAUUUAUUUUACUUAAAAUAUUACUUUGUAUAUCGUUGUUGGGAUUGUAUUUUGAUUUAAUAUAUUAAGUUUAUUUAUUUUAUUUGAAUUCAAAUCAUGAUGCAGGAAUGUUUAAGUAUUUAAUGAGUUACAAUGUAAAUUAUAUAUGGAUUGGGGUGUAUUGAAAAUUUUUAUGAAAGUGGAUUUAAUGGUAAUUUGUUUUAUUUAGGGUAAAUGAUUUUAGUUUUAAUUUAUGUACAUAUUGCCCGUCACUCUUGUUUUUAAUUUUAGGAAUUUAAUUUGGUUUUUUGAAUUAAUUAUUAAGAUAAGUCGUAACAAAGUAAGUGUACUGGAAUGUGUACUUGGAA